rnacentral:lncRNA from 1 species
GUUUCAGCCUCUGCAGUAGUUGGGAUUACAGGUGUAUGUCACCAUACCUGCCUCAGAUUUGCAUUUUAGAAAGAUCUCCCUGGUUGCAAUGUGAAAGAUGGAUUGGAGGGAAUAAAGGCCCUCUUAGGAAAACUGUUUAGGAAGCGGUUAGAAUAAUUUAGGCAAUGAAUGAUAGGUGUAUUAGUCAAGAUCCUUUAGAGAAGUAGCCAAAAGGAGAUAUGUAUACACACACACAUAUAUGCAUGUAUAUGUAUAUACACACAUAUACAUAAAGAGAUUUACUAUGUGAAAUUAACUCAUAUGACUCUGGAGGAAGGCAAUUCUAAAAUCUGCAGAGCCAAUGUCCCAUUUCGAGUCUAAAGGCUAGAAAUUUUUAUAGAAUUUGGAAAAGUCAAUGUAUCAGUUUGAAAGUCAUCAGACAAGAAGGACUGAUGUUUACAUUCAAGUUUAAAGGCCAUCAGUAGGAGAAUUCUCUCUUAUUUGGGGAGUGUCACUAUUUUGUUCACUUCUGUUGAUUUCAGGUGAGGCCCAACCACGUUAGAGAGGGCAAUCUGCUUUUACUCAGUCUACCAAUUUAAAUAUUAGUUUCACCCAGAAGCACCUAGAAUAACGUUUGACACAAUAUCUGGACAGCCUGUGGCCCAGUCUUGUUGACAUAAAAUUAGCCAUCACAAGGGCUUAAACUAAGUUUGUUGCCAUGGAAAUGAG